AUUGAACGCUGGCGGCAGGCUUAACACAUGCAAGUCGAGCGGUAACAGGUAUAGCUUGCUAUAUGCUGACGAGCGGCGGACGGGUGAGUAAUGCUUGGGAACUUGCCUUUGCGAGGGGGAUAACUACUGGAAACGGUAGCUAAUACCGCAUAAUACCUGAGGGUUAAAGGGGCUUUUGCUCUCGCGUGAAGAUAGGCCCAAGUGAGAUUAGCUAGUUGGUGGGGUAAAGGCUCACCAAGGCGACGAUCUCUAGCUGUUCUGAGAGGAAGGUCAGCCACACUGGGACUGAGACACGGCCCAGACUCCUACGGGAGCAGCAGUGGGGAAUAUUGCACAAUGGGAAACCCUGAUGCAGCCAUGCCGCGUGUGUGAAGAAGGCCUUAGGGUUGUAAAGCACUUUCAGUUGUGAGGAAGGGUUGUUGGUUAAUACCCAGCAACAUUGACGUUAGCAACAGAAGAAGCACCGGCU
rnacentral:rRNA from 1 species